GCCAGGCGUGGUGGCUCAUGCCUGUAAUCCCAGCACUUUGGGAGGCUGAGGUGGGUGGAUCACUUGAGGUCAGGAGUUCGAGACCAGCCUGGCCAACAUGGUGAAACCCCAUCUCUA
ensembl:misc_RNA Metazoa_SRP Metazoan signal recognition particle RNA